GAUGAACGCUGGCGGCGUGCCUAAUACAUGCAAGUCGAGCGAACGGACGAGAAGCUUGCUUCUCUGAUGUUAGCGGCGGACGGGUGAGUAACACGUGGAUAACCUACCUAUAAGACUGGGAUAACUUCGGGAAACCGGAGCUAAUACCGGAUAAUAUUUUGAACCGCAUGGUUCAAAAGUGAAAGACGGUCUUGCUGUCACUUAUAGAUGGAUCCGCGCUGCAUUAGCUAGUUGGUAAGGUAACGGCUUACCAAGGCAACGAUGCAUAGCCGACCUGAGAGGGUGAUAGGCCACACUGGAACUGAGACACGGUCCAGACUCCUACGGGAGGCAGCAGUAGGGAAUCUUCCGCAAUGGGGGAGAGCCUGACGGAGCAACGCCGCGUGAGUGAUGAAGGUCUUCGGAUCGUAAAACUCUGUUAUUAGGGAAGAACAUAUGUGUAAGUAACUGUGCACAUCUUGACGGUACCUAGUCAGAAAGCCACGGCUAACUACGUG
rnacentral:rRNA from 1 species